ACGUAGGGGCCGAGCGUUGUCCGGAGUUACUGGGCGUAAAGCGCGCGCAGGCGGCUCGUCAAGCCUGACGUGAAAGCCCCCGGCUCAACCGGGGAGGGUCGUCGGGGACUGGCGGGCUUGAGGUCGGCAGGGGUUGGUGGAAUUCCCGGUGUAGUGGUGAAAUGCGUAGAGAUCCGGAGGAACACCAGAGGCGAAGGCGACACCCUGGGCCGUACCUGACGCUAAGACGCGACAGCACGGGGAGCGAACGG
rnacentral:rRNA from 1 species